UGAAAGUGGCGAACGGGUGAGUAACGCGUGGGUAACUACCCUUUGGAAAGGAAUAGCCUCGGGAAACUGGGAGUAAUGCCUUAUAAGAUACGUUUGUCGCAUGGCAUUUGUAUUAAACGCUCCGGCGCCAUAGGAUGGACCCGCGUCCCAUUAGCUAGUUGGUGAGAUAACAGCUCACCAAGGCCACGAUGGGUAACCGGUCUGAGAGGGCGAACGGUCACACUGGAACUGAGACACGGUCCAGACUCCUACGGGAGGCAGCAGUGGGGAAUAUUGCGCAAUGGGGGCAACCCUGACGCAGCAAUACCGCGUGAGUGAAGAAGGUUUUCGGAUCGUAAAGCUCUGUUAUUGGGGAAGAAAAAAAGACGGUACCCAAGAAGAAAGUUCCGGCUAACUACGUGCCAGCAGCCGCGGUAAUACGUAGGGAACAAGCGUUGUCCGGAUUUACUGGGCGUAAAGGGCACGCAGGCGGUUUUUUAAGUCAGAUGUGAAAGGCCACAGCUCAACUGUGGACAUGCAUUUGAAACUGAAAGACUUGAGUAUUGGAGAGGCAAGUGGAAUUCCUAGUGUAGCGGUGAAAUGCGUAGAUAUUAGGAGGAACACCGGUGGCGAAGGCGGCUUGCUGGACAAAUA
rnacentral:rRNA from 1 species